rnacentral:rRNA from 1 species
UACGUAGGGCGCAAGCGUUGUCCGGAAUUAUUGGGCGUAAAGAGCUCGUAGGCGGCUUGUCACGUCGGGUGUGAAAGCCCGGGGCUUAACCCCGGGUCUGCAUUCGAUACGGGCUAGCUAGAGUGUGGUAGGGGAGAUCGGAAUUCCUGGUGUAGCGGUGAAAUGCGCAGAUAUCAGGAGGAACACCGGUGGCGAAGGCGGGUCUCUGGGCCGUAACUGACGCUGAGGAGCGAAAGCGUGGGGAGCGAAACAGG